rnacentral:lncRNA from 1 species
AUGCACCCCAACCCUUUUCCCUCUUCCCUCUCUCGAUUACACACCUGCCACCGGAGAAACUCUGUUCGGCCGGCACCGUUCACCGGCGACCUCUCCGUCGCACACCCAUGAUCUCCUCCUUCUCCACCGGCCAUGAACACAACUCUGCCUCCCUCCUCUCCCCUCGGUUUCACGGCGCGAAGUCCACAGCCGGUCACUGAUAAUACACCGAUAAUGGCCGACAGUGGUCGUGGUGCUGUUUUCUAAGCCGCGACCCAGCCCCGUCUUUCCCUUGUCCUCUCUCUUGACCCCUCUCAGGUCCGGUCAAUGCUGGUUAUCUUUAUGGCGACCCACCGGUAACGGAAUGAUAACGAUGAUGAUGAACUACAGACGAUGAUGACGAUGUUGUGAUGAAUGGUGAAGGAUGACAACGACGGUGGUGACUAUGCCAGGUAAGUUCCAGCUUCGGGUUCGAGUUCGGUUUGGUUUCGGUUCGUUCAGGAUGGUCAGACUCCAGCGGGUUCGUUUCGAAGCGGGUCGGGUUCGACUCAGGUAACCAGUCAGCAGAUUCGGUUCGGAUCUCGUCUGGUUCAGUCUCGGGUCGCACAACCACAUGUUCCUCACCAUUCGCCGCAUGCACCCCAACCCUUUUCCCUCUUCCCUCUCUCGAUUACACACCUGCCAUCGGAGAAACUCUGUUCGGCCGGCACCGUUCACCGGCGACCUCUCCGUCGCACACCCAUGAUCUCCUCCUUCUCCACCGGCCAUGAACACAACUUUGCCUCCCUCCUCUCCCCUCGGUUUCACGGCGCGAAGUCCACAGCCGGUCACUGAUAAUACACCGGUAAUGGCCGACAGUGGUCGUGGUGCUGUUUUCUAAGCCGCGACCCAGCCCCGUCUUUCCCUUGUCCUCUCUCUUGACCCCUCUCAGGUCCGGUCAAUGCUGGUUGUCUUUAUGGCGACCCACCGGUAACGGAAUGAUAACGAUGAUGAUGAACUACAGACGAUGAUGACGAUGUUGUGAUGAAUGGUGAAGGAUGACAACGACGGUGGUGACUAUGCCAGGUAAGUUCCAGCUUCGGGUUCGAGUUCGGUUUGGUUUCGGUUCGUUCAGGAUGGUCAGACUCCAGCGGGUUCGUUUCGAAGCAGGUCGGGUUCGACUCAGGUAACCAGUCAGCAGAUUCGGUUCGGAUCUCGUCUGGUUCAGUCUUGGGUCGCACAACCACAUGUUCCUCACCAUUCGGACGUGUUUGAUGGACUAUUAAGCAAGUAACUAACCUUACCGAGCAAACCAAGGUGAGUUCACACUUUCUACAAGGCAUGGGAUUCCCAGGGGUUGGGAAUGGGUAAAGGAUUUAAACUGAAACUGCAUGAUCUCCUGGUUUGGGACACGUACACACCCUCUUUAUUGAAGGGUGACAACACGUGAUAAGAAUAUAAUCGGAACCUGCGUAAUCUCCUGGUUUGGGGAUUACGUACACACCCUCUUUAUUGAAGUGUGACAACACGGAUACUAGACCAAAACUCUCUAUCAUGAAGUCCCUCCUUUUAUAUCGACUUAAUCGCCGGGCCAAUGGCGAGCGGGUCAUUAGUUAGAUAGCGCUAUUUAGGUUUGACAAGCCUCACACCGUGCCGCAGAGGACGGGCGUGAACUAAUGGAUCUGGGCACGUCAAUGAUGAUAGACAUUGACAUUAGGGCACCAACUUACUUCAGUCAGUGGUCGAUAUGGUAAACGGGUCUAGUGGUUCACAUGGGGAAGCCCCCGCUGGUUAUGGUUUGGGAAGAAGGAAUUGGUUAAUCAUAUUUGCAACUAUGGGGUAACCCCCACGACAAGUAAGCCAGCUAAAGAAUAACUAUGUUUUUGAAACAACUUUAAACGAACACCCAACUGUGAACUCGCUCAACUUUGUUGUUGACUCGUUGUUACAUGCCUUGCAGGU